CUGCAGGCAGCGCUCUGGCUCAGCCCACCGCCAGGAGAGACUGCUGCCCCAAAUAAACAGCUACAGGAGAGAUGAAAUAAAAGAGUGGAUUACAGCGAAGGGAAAACAGAGCGUGAAUGUUUUGGACCCCAUUGAAUGUGGACAAACAGUGAAACAUUGUUCAACAUAUCUUUUGUGUUCAGCAGAAGAAAGAAAAUCAUAUGAUUUUAAGACAACAUACAGUAAGGGUUUUAAAGAUGUGGACUUACACUCUUUACAUAAACGUAAAGAUGUUGGUGCCAAUUCAUAGGUAAUUGUCCCUUCUGGGCCUGGAUGCUGGGAGUCUUGGAGGAGCCUAAGCUC